ACCAAAUGAUGAUAUCAGGCAUAACACAGUAGGUGGCAUUUCUGAGCAUUGAUUUACCAUGUCUGUAAUCUUGGUGGGCGUGACUCAGUUUGCACGCUCGCUGUAAGGCCGGACAUAGAGAAAACUGCCCGGUCAUCAGAACCUGCAGUUUAAGUGUUGACUGCAGGGUAGGAGCCACGGCAAACAACUUAGAGCACCAGGGGCAAAAAAAAAAAUGGGAGGGGGGGGGGGGGGGGGGGGUUAGUGUGUUAAUUUUAACACACCAACAUGCUCAAAGCCACCAGUGAUCUUUCCUUUAGUAAUCUGAUGGUU